AGUUUUUACGGUGUGUGACCGACACUUCUGAACAAAUAUGAGAUGUUUGCUUAAUGGUUCCAUAUAAGUGGAAUUAAAGGCCAGGAUUUAGUUCUUCAUGUAAAAAAAAUAAGUAAAACAGUUCUUGGAUUAAAUUUGAAAUUUUUAUUGCAACAAAAAUGAAGUUAUUGGGCUAUGUUAUAUUGAUUGCAUGUUUCUUUGCUGUUUUGAAUGCUGAUGAUAUUAUGGGCUGCAAAGAGAAGCGUAGUAGAGCCAAGGCAUUAUAUAAGAACAGCGUUCCAGACGUUCCUAUUCCAAUGUGCAAUUCAGAUGGUACCUAUACCAAAAAACAAUACACUAGCAUGGGUAAGUGCUACUGCGCUGAUCCAGCAGGAAAUCCAAUUGACGGUCAAGAGUGCCCAUGUGAAUGAAAAAUCACCCCUGGAAUUAUUUGAAUAAAUUUAUUCCUAUUUAAUAAACAUUUGUGCUUUUGA